AUUGAACGCUGGCGGCAUGCCUUACACAUGCAAGUCGAACGGCAGCACGGGUGCUUGCACCUGGUGGCGAGUGGCGAACGGGUGAGUAAUACAUCGGAACGUACCUUAUCGUGGGGGAUAACGCAGCGAAAGCUGUGCUAAUACCGCAUACGCCCUGAGGGGGAAAGCGGGGGAUCGCAAGACCUCGCGCGAUUAGAGCGGCCGAUGCCUGAUUAGCUAGUUGGUGGGGUAAAAGCCCACCAAGGCGACGAUCAGUAGCUGGUCGGAGAGGACAGCCAGCCACACUGGGACUGGGACACGGCCCAGACUCCUACGGGAGGCAGCAGUGGGGAAUUUUGGACAAUGGGGGCAACCCUGAUCCAGCAAUGCCGCGUGAGUGAAGAAGGCCUUCGGGUUGUAAAGCUCUUUUGUCAGGGAAGAAACACCGGCUCUAACACAGUCCGGGAAUGACGGUACCUGAAGAAUAAGCACCGGCUAACUACGUGCCAGCCGCCGCCGUAA
rnacentral:rRNA from 1 species